rnacentral:tRNA from 1 species
UGGAGGGAGUGGGAAUUGAACCCAAGACCUUCUGAUCCUCAGUCAGAAGCGUAGACCACUACUCUACAUACCCCC